UACGAAGGGGGCUAGCGUUGCUCGGAAUUACUGGGCGUAAAGCGCACGUAGGCGGCUUUCUAAGUCGGGGGUGAAAUCCUGGAGCUCAACUCCAGAACUGCCUUCGAUACUGGAAAGCUCGAGUCCGGGAGAGGUGAGUGGAACUGCGAGUGUAGAGGUGAAAUUCGUAGAUAUUCGCAAGAACACCAGUGGCGAAGGCGGCCAACUGGUCCGGUACUGACGCUGAGGUGCGAAAGCGUGGGGAGCAAACAGG
rnacentral:rRNA from 1 species